AGCCUCAUUCUGGAUGAAAAUGGACACUGCUGUUCAAGGUGUCCAGAAAUGGUUAAUGAGACACGGGUUAUGCUUCCAUCACAGUAAUUUUAUUAUAGUGGUGACAAUGAAAGCUGUAACAUUG